GAGGAAUAUUGCGCAAUGGAGGCAACUCUGACGCAGCCAUGCCGCGUGCAGGAAGAAGGCGCUACGCGUUGUAAACUGCUUUUAACCGGGAAGAAACCCCAGGACGUGUCCUGGGUUGACGGUACCGGAGGAAUAAGCACCGGCUAACUUCGUGCCAGCAGCCGCGGUAAUACGAAGGGUGCAAGCGUUAUCCGGAUUCAUUGGGUUUAAAGGGUGCGUAGGUGGGGCGUUAAGUCAGUGGUGAAAGCCUACAGCUCAACUGUAGAAUUGCCAUUGAUACUGGCGCUCUUGAGUGCGCUUGAAGUAGGCGGAAUGUGCCGUGUAGCGGUGAAAUGCUUAGAUAUGGCACAGAACACCAAUUGCGAAGGCAGCUUACUAAGGCGAUACUGACACUGAGGCACGAAAGCGUGGGGAUCGAAC
rnacentral:rRNA from 1 species